UCUGUGUCAUUACUGUCAGCGCACAGACCACAGCAGCUCUAUAUGAGUAAGUGUGAACGUGUGACACCAGGACACUUCUAAGAAUUCACACCCAGAUGAUUAAAACUUCUCUUAAAGUGACAACGACGAUUAAUUUCACACAAAAAUCAACACAAAAGAUAUUCUAUGUUCCGAUUCUCUCGUCUGUGUUUGUCUGAAUUAGUCGUCGUUAAUAAAAACUUCACUGACGUCGUCACAAAAACACUAAAAAUUCAUUUUGAUAAAUUUGAUAUCAGACAGUGGGCGACAUUAUUUAUCAUUUCCUCUUUAACAUCUUUUAAACCAUAAAACUCCAAAUGUAGAAUGACACAGAGUUCAUAAGGACAUACUGUUAGUAGAUACAAAGAGAGCAACAGCACUGAUAACAUCGUCAGUUAGUUUAAAUCAAAUCUAAAUGAAAUGAAACCUCUCACCUGAAACAUCAUCGACUCCGACUGACUGACUGACUGACUGACUGUGUGUGUGUGUGUGUGUGUGUGUGUGUGUGUGUGUGUGUCAGGAUGUGGUCACAUGUUCUUCCUCUCUCUGGUCGGUCUCUUCAGACUCUGCUUCUUCCUCCUGAUGAUGAUCUCAGACGCUGGUGAGACUGAAGAGCUCAAACCAACAAAGAUAAAUGCAGCUCGCGGCGAUGCACGGCGCCUUUACAGCGUGGGACCGAGGUCAGAGCCAAGAGUGAGGAACCGGAAGUGUGUCGGUUUUAAGCGAUUGCACCCUUCAAAAUAAAAGAAAACAAGAAGGGCUUUUGUUGAUGUACGAUUAAAUUACUGUAAAUAAUAAUUCAUUAUUUAAAAUCUGUCUUUAAUCAAUACAACCAAUCAGGACAGCGAUAUGAAAAGUACAUAAAAAUAAUAUUUGAUUUUACAUAUUGUGCUUUCACAAACGUUUUUAGAGAGAUGGACCAAUCAUAAUUUAUCUACACAAAUCACAAGAAUAAUAUAUCUGCUGUAAAAUUAUAGACAUUAUAAAGCAUUUUAUGUGAAAGAUAUAUAUAGAGUAGUAUUUUUUAUAUAUGGAUGUGAGCAGCAGUUUUUCUUAUAAUAAAUUCCUCAAUAGAUAUAAAAUGUAGAUGCAUCUGAGGUUGCAAGAGUUUAUAAUUCUUGAAUAAUUGGGAAAGCACAGGACUGUAUAAACUACAUUGUGUGCAGUGAUAUAAUAAUAAUAAUAUAAAUAUUAAUAAUAAUAUUAAUAUUAAAUUAAACUACAUUGUGUGCAGUGAUAUAAUAAUAAUAAUAAUAAUAAUAAUAUUAAAUUAAACUACAUUGUGUGCAGUGAUACAAUAAUAAUAUUAAUAUUAAAUUAA
rnacentral:lncRNA from 15 species